GGAAUCAUCGUAUUGCUGAUCUACGUAAACAAAUUGAAGAAUUGUCUGAAAGACAAUAUGACAUGAACUUAUGAAUUCAACAGGUGAAGAUUUACAACUUGAUAAAUCAGCUUUGUGAGCUCGAGCUGUAAAAGCCAAAGGUCUGGUCAUGAUCCCAUAACCUUUUUUCCAGUCUCAUGUUGAAGAUUUUUAUGAAGAAGGCCUUCCCAAAGGAAUUUUUUUUUUUUUUUGAGAUGGAGUUUUCACUCUUAUCGCCCAGGCUGGGGUGCAAUGGUGCAACCUUGCUGGUCACUGCAACCUCUGCCUCCUGGGUUCAAGAAAUUCUCCUGCCUUAGCCUCCCAAGUCGCUGGGAUUACAGGUGCCUACCACCACACCAGGCUAAUUUUUGUAUUUUUAGUGGAGAUGGGGUUUCACCAUGUUGGCCGGGCCAGUCUCGAACUCCUGACGUCAAGUGAUCUUCCCGCCUCGACUCCUGACAUCAAGUGAUCUUCCCGCCUUGGCCUCCCAGAGUGCUGAGAUUACAGACGUGAACCCAUGCCUGGCCAGGAAUUUUGCUUUUUAGGAAGGCUUUCUGCUAAUGGAAUUCCUGGCCUUGAGAGGAUGUUACUUUCGAAGGAAAGGAUUUUUUUGUUAUUAAAAGAGCCACCUAAGCUGAAGAUUCCCUUGAGAACAAGUACUGUCCUGCAGUUUCAUGGCCUUUCUUCCAUUUGUGGUUCUUGCGAAGUGGAAUUUAAAUGACAUCUUAUCAAGAUGGAUAAACCCUAGUUUCCCAGUGCUGGAAUAUAGAAAAUGGAUGGACAAGUAAAUCCCACUCAGCACCCAUAGUCCAGGCAUGGGGACCUCAACACACCUGAGCCCCAGACAUCACCUUUCAUUCUGGACCUACUAUGAAAGACUUCUGAAUCCAGGAAGAGAAACGGACUGGGCAACAUGUUAUUCAGAUGGGGUCUUCUUAUGUUGCCCAGGCUGGUCUCAAAUUCCUAGGCUCAAGUGAUUCCGCCCACCUCUGCCUCCCAAAGUGCUGGGAUUACGGGCAUGAGCCAGCGCAUCUGGCCACCUUAUUUUCUAUUACUGGCUCAAUGUAAUGGCUCCAUCUCAGGAACAGCCAAUGAAAGAGAUGCACAGGACAAGAAACAGGACCUUGCCCUGUCACUCAGGAUGGAGUUCAGUGGUCCUAUCAUGGCUCAUUAUAGCCUCAAACUCCCAGGCUCAAGCAAUCCUACCAUGUCAGCCUUCCCAGUAGCUGGGACUACAGGUCUCACACUGUCACCCAGGCUAGAGUACAGUGUCACAACCUCUGCUCACUGCAGCCUCCACCUGCCAGGCUCAAGCAAUUCUCCUGCCUCAGCCUCCCGAGUAGCUGGGAUUACAGGUAAGUGCCACCACACCCAGCUGAUUUUUGUGUUUUUUGUAGAGACGAGGUUUCGCCAUGUUUCCCAGACUGUUCUCAAACUCCUGAGCUCAAAGCAGUCCACCCACCUUGGCCUCCCAAAGUGCUGGGAUUACAGGUGUGAGCCGUCUUGCUCAUUCUAGUUUAAACUUUUGAGUGGUUUGUGUCUCCUGAUUGGACUCCUACAAAUACAGAAUUGAUGCUAGGAAGGGUACCAGGAGAUAGACGCACACAGAUGGGAUUUGGGAAUAGGUUUGGUUAUCCAAGGAGCAGUGCUGAGCUCCUUGCUAAUGGGAUAUGGGAUGCUGGUGAUUUCCAGGAAGUGACCUCACAAUGACUCAAGCUACCACAUACUGUUGAUUGUGAAAUGCCAGUUGAAGCAUAUGUCCUGCGAGCUUAGGGGUGCUACAAGUUGACCACUGCAGCAGUAAAGAUGACUCUGAAGAAUGGCAUGGGAUGGGUCCUUUCGAAUGCACUUGAGCAGCGGUCUCCAACCACAGGACCACAGAGCUGGAGGUGAGCAGCAGCUGGAUCUACCAUGAAAGACUUCUGAAUCCAGGAAGAGAGACUGACUGGGCAACAUGUUAUUCAGGAGACGGGGUCUCACCCUGUCACCCAGGCUUGAGUACAGUAGUGCUAUCACAGCUCACUGCAGCCUUGAACUCCUGGGCUAAGGAUCCUCCUACCUGAGCCUCCUGAGUAGCUAGGACUGGUCUCCCUCUGUUGUCCAAGGCUGGAGGGUAGUAGUGCUAUCGCAGCUGACUGCAGCUUCAACCUUCCAGGCUGAAGCGAUCCUCCCAUCUCAACCUCCCACGUAGCUGAGACUACAGGUGCUUGCCACUAUGCCCAACUAAUAUUUGGAAUUUUCGUAUACGUGGAUUCCAGAGGGGUGACAGCGAAACGUGGGACCAUCCAGUUUCAGGAAAACAAGCUUAACACGCCCACUGAUUCUACAUUAUGCUCCUACCUCCCGGCAGCCUCUCCAGGCCCAGAACUUUCUCCAGUCAGCCUCUACAGACCAAGCUCAUGACUCACAAUGGCCUAUUUAGGCCCAUACCCUACCUCACGGCAGUCUCCGCAGAUGAGCCUACUGCCUCACAACAGCCUCCACAGGCACAGCUCCAUCAUUACAAUGGCCUCUUUAGACCCAGCUCCUGCUUCCCAGCCUUCUCUCCAGGCCCUGAACGUUCUCCGGUCUCCCUCUGUUGUCCAAGGCUGGAGGGUAGUAGUGCUAUCGCAGCUGACUGCAGCCUCAACCUUCCAGGCUGAAGCGAUCCUCCCAUCUCAACCUCCCACAUGGCUGAGACUACAGGUGCUUGCCACUAUGCCCAACUAAUAUUUGGAAUUUUCGUAUACGUGGAUUCCAGAGGGGUGACAGCGAAACGUGGGACCAUCCAGUUUCAGGAAAACAAGCUUAACACGCCCACUGAUUCUACAUUAUGCUCCUACCUCCCGGCAGCCUCUCCAGGCCCAGAACUUUCUCCAGUCAGCCUCUACAGACCAAGCUCAUGACUCACAAUGGCCUAUUUAGGCCCAUACCUUACCUCACGGCAGUCUCCGCAGAUGAGCCUACUGCCUCACAACAGCCUCCACAGGCACAGCUCCAUCAUUACAAUGGCCUCUUUAGACCCAGCUCCUGCUUCCCAGCCUUCUCUCCAGGCCCUGAACGUUCUCCGGUCUCCCUCUGUUGUCCAAGGCUGGAGGGUAGUAGUGCUAUCGCAGCUGACUGCAGCCUCAACCUUCCAGGCUGAAGCGAUCCUCCCAUCUCAACCUCCCACAUGGCUGAGACUACAGGUGCUUGCCACUAUGCCCAACUAAUAUUUGGAAUUUUCGUAUACGUGGAUUCCAGAGGGGUGACAGCGAAACGUGGGACCAUCCAGUUUCAGGAAAACAAGCUUAACACGCCCACUGAUUCUACAUUAUGCUCCUACCUCCCGGCAGCCUCUCCAGGCCCAGAACUUUCUCCAGUCAGCCUCUACAGACCAAGCUCUACAGACGGUGGCCUCUCCAGUAUGAGCUCCUGCCCUCCAAUGGCACCUGCAGGCCCCAAAUGGUCUCCGGUCGGUGGGCUCCUCCACGCCAAGCUUGGGCCUCCCGGCGACCUCUGCAGGCCCAAGUUGUCCUGAAGUCGGCAUCUCCCGGCUCUGCCUCCCAGCAAGUAAGCAAGCUCUUUUGGCUCAACUCCUGCCCAGCUCCCAACCGCCUUUGUAGGCCCCGAACUUUCUCCAGCCAAGUUCUUCGGGCCUAAUUCCUGCCGCCCGGUGGCCUGUACGGGCCCAGCAAUGGUUGGAGAACGGCCUCUGCAGGUCCUGCUCUUGCCUCCCAGGGGCCUCUCCAGGCCCAGCUCUUGACCCCACGGCGGCCUCCCGGGACCAAGUCCCUGCCUGCCUCCCAGCAGCCCGUGUGCAGCCCAGCUCCUCCCUCACGGUGGCCUGUUGAUGCCCAUGCCUCUGGUACCCUGCCCAGAGGCAUGAGCCCCUGCCACACACUGGCUCCUCCCACGCUGAGAGAGGUCAGCGUGAGCCCUUGCCUCACACCGGCCCCUCCCACGCUGAGAGAGGUCAGCGUGAGCCCCUUGCCUCACACCGGCCCCUCCCACGCUGAGAGAGGUCAGCGUGAGCCCUUGCCUCACACCGGCCCCUCCCACGCUGAGAGAGGUCGGCCUUAGCCCCUUGCCUCACACCGGCCCCUCCCACGCUGACAGAGGUCGGCCUGAGCCCCUUGCCUCACACCGGCCCCUCCCACGCUGACAGAGGUCGGCCUGAGCCCCUUGCCUCACACCGGCCCCUUCCACGCUGACAGAGGUCGGCCUGAGCCCCUUGCCUCACACCGGCCCCUCCCUCGCUGACAGAGGUCGGCCUGAGCCCCUUGCCUCACACUGGCCCCUCCCUCGCUGACAGAGGUCAGCGUGAGCCCCUUGCCUCACACCGGUCCCUCCCAUGCUGACAGAGGUCAGGCUGAGCCCCUAGCCUCACACCGGCCCCUCCCACUCUGACAGAGGUCAGCCUGAGGCCCUAGCCUCACACCGGCCCCUCCCAGGCUGACAGAGGUCAGCCUGAGCCCCUAGCCUCACACCAGCCCCUCCCACGCUGACAGAGGUCAGCCUGAGCCCCUAGCCUCACACCGGCCCCUCCCUCGCUGACAGAGGUCAGCGGGAGCCCCUAGCCUCACACCGGCCCCUCCCUCGCUGACAGAGGUCAGCGGGAGCCCCUAGCCUCACACCGGCCCCUCCCACGCUGACAGAGGUCAGCCUGAGCCCCUAGCCUCACACCGGCCCCUCCCACUCUGACAGAGGUCAGCCUGAGGCCCUAGCCUCACACCGGCCCCUCCCAGGCUGACAGAGGUCCGCGGGAGCCCCUAGCCUCACACCGGCCCCUCCCAGGCUGACAGAGGUCAGCGGGAGCCCCUUGCCUCACACCGGCCCCUCUCACGCUGACAGAGGUCAGCAUGAGCCCCUUGCCUCACACCGGCCCCUCCCACGCUGAGAGAUGUCAGCGUGAGCCCUUGCCUCACACUGGCCCCUCCCACGCUGAGAGAGGUCAGCGUGAGCCCCUUGCCUCACACCGGCCCCUCCCACACUGACAGAGGUCCAUGGAAGCCCCUUGCCUCACACUGGCCCCUCCCACGCUGAGAGAGGUCAGCGUGAGCCCUUGCCUCACACUGGCCCCUCCCACGCUGAGAGAGGUCGGCGUGAGUCCCUUGCCUCACAUCGGCCCCUCCCACGUUGAGAGAGGUCGGCGUGAGCCCUUGCCUCACACCGGCCCCUCCCACGCUGAGAGAGGUCGGCGUGAGCCCCUUGCCUCACACCGGCCCCUCCCACGCUGAGAGAGGUCGGCGUGAGCCCUUGCCUCACACCGGCCCCUCCCACGCUGAGAGAGGUCAGCGUGACCCCCUGCCUCAACAGGCCACCGUGAGGGAGGAGCAGGGUUGCAUGCGGGCUGCUGGGAGGCAGGCAGGGACUUGUUCCUGGGAGGUCACUGUAGGGCGAGAGCUGGGCCUGGAGACACCCCUGGGAGGCAACAGCGGGGCCUACAGACUCUGUUCUCCAGCCGGAGCUGGGACUGUUCAGGUACUCGGAGGCGGGAUGUGGGUCUGAAGAGCUUGGUUGCAGAAACUUAGGGGUCUACAAACGCAGGCGGGAGCUGAGCCAAAAAAGCUUGUUUGCUGGGAGGUGGGAGAUGCAGCCAGAAGAAACAGCUGUGCCUGCAGAGGCCGCCAUGUGGGAGGCGGAGGCCGGGCCUCCUCAAAUCGGCCUCUCCAGACCCACUUGCAGCCUCCCGGCAUCCUCUCCGGGCCCAGCUCUUCCUCCCGGCUGCGUCUCCAGGCCUGACUCUGGCCUCCCAACAGCGUCUUUGGACUCAGCUCCUGCCCAGCUCCCAGCAGGCCCAAGUCGUCCUCAAGUCGGCCUGGAAUUGGGCCUGGAAGAGCAGCAAGUCGGCCUCCCCGGGCCCAUCUCCGUCCUCUCGGCGGCCUCUCCAGGUGCAAAACUUCCUCGAGUCAGCCUCUCCAGGCCCAGCUCCUCCUGCCUCCCAGUGGCCUCUUUCAGCCCAGACCAGCUCAUGGCUCUUGGCGGCCUUCCCAGGCCCCGCUUUUGACUUUUGGUGGCCUCUUCAGGCCCAGAACUUGACCUCCAGUGGGCCUUUGCAGGCCCAGCCUCCUGCCUCUCAAAGGCCUGCAUGAGCCUGGACUCACAGCGGACUCUCCAUGCCCAGCUAGCUCUUGCCUCAUUGCGGCCUCCCGAGUCCAAAGCUCCUGCCUCUCGGCCGCUUCGGCAGGCCCAGCUCCCGCCUGCCAGUGGCCUCUUUAGGCCCAGCUCAUUCCUCACAACGGCCUUCCCAGGCCCCGUUUUUCCCUUCCUGCAGCCUCUUGGCCUCUAAUUUGUUUAUCUUUUGUGUAUAAAUCCCAAAAUAUUGAAUUUUGGAAUAUUUCCACCAUUAUGUAAA